rnacentral:rRNA from 1 species
GAUGAACGCUGGCGGCACGCUUAACACAUGCAAGUCGAACGGAGAAAACACUUCGGUGUUUUCUUAGUGGCGGACGGGUGAGUAACACGUGAGCAACCUACCUCAAAGAGGGGGAUAACACACCGAAAGGUGUGCUAAUACCGCAUAACAUCGCCGGGUGGCAUCACUUGGUGAUCAAAGGAGCAAUCCGCUUUGAGAUGGGCUCGCGUCCGAUUAGGCAGUUGGCGGGGUAAUGGCCCACCAAACCUAUGAUCGGUAGCCGGACUGAGAGGUUGGCCGGCCACAUUGGGACUGAGACACGGUCCAGACUCCUACGGGAGGCAGCAGUGGGGAAUCUUGCGCAAUGGGCGAAAGCCUGACGCAGCAACGCCGCGUGCGGGAUGAAGGCCUUCGGGUUGUAAACCUCUUUCAGCAGGGACGAAUGUAGACGGUACCUGUAGAAGAAGCACCGGCCAACUACGUG